rnacentral:rRNA from 1 species
UCGAGACCGAAACACAAUGAGCGAUUUUGUGAACCUGUAAAAAUAAGCGGUGCCUGUAGUGCUGCGAUAAAAUCCACUCGAGUCAUCGCCUCAUCCCCUCUUUGGGGUGGGGACGUGAUGAAGGAUGGAUGAACCCUCAAAUCGGCGCAGCGUAGCGCCAAGGGAAUCUUGAAACACAAGCCCAUAAAUGGGUUUUGUGGGAUGGGGUGCUGUCGCACGCCAUAUUGAUUGACACGACUCUCGGCAAUGGAUAUCUCGGCUCUCGCAUCGAUGAAGAGCGCAGCGAAAUGCGAUAUGUGGUGCGAAUUGCAGAAUCCCGCGAACCAUCGAGUCUUUGAACGCAAGUUGCGCCUGAGGCCAACCGGCUGAGGGCACGUCCGCCUGGGCGUCAAGCAUUUUAUCGCUCCGUGCCUAGUCUCCCAUCCAUGGAUGUGUUGCCAAGGCUCGGAUGUGCACGGUGGCUCGUCGUGCCCCUUGGUGCGGCGGGCUGAAGGGCGGGUCAUCUUCUCGUUGGCUGCCAACAAUAAGGGGUGGAUUAAAUAAGGCCUAUGCUAUUGUGUCAAGCGCGCCUGAGAGAUGGUCAUACUUAUUAGGUGAUCCCAAUUCAUGCGUCGAUCCAUGGAUGGCGUAUCGAAU